UACGAAGGGGGCUAGCGUUGUUCGGAAUUACUGGGCGUAAAGCGCACGUAGGCGGACAUUUUAAGUCAGGGGUGAAAUCCCGGGGCUCAACCCCGGAACUGCCUUUGAUACUGGGUGUCUCGAGUCCGAGAGAGGUGAGUGGAAUUCCGAGUGUAGAGGUGAAAUUCGUAGAUAUUCGGAGGAACACCAGUGGCGAAGGCGGCUCACUGGUCUCGUAACUGACGCUCAGGCGGCGACAGCGUGGGGAUCAAACAGG
rnacentral:rRNA from 1 species